UUAGCACGAACGAAUCAUUGCAACCGCUUACCCUCAUAAUAAAAUUAUUAUUAUGACUUAUUAAGAAUAAAUACGUGUUUACAAAUUGCUUGUUGAUGAUAGAUAUUCACCUGCAGCGCCCUCUGGCGGGCAGCGAGCACGGCCAUCAUAGAGUCGUGUCCGCGCAUCAUGACGCCGAGCACCUCCUGCUCGCUCGGCUCCGCACCAGCACCCCGACCACCCCGACGCACGCCCGCUGUUAGACCGCGCUAUACAAGAUCAUAAAAUAUUAAGGACUUUCUUAUUACUAGGCACAAAGUCAUCGAGAUCCAGUCCAACAGGUUUGUCUAUGGAUAGAGGAACAAACUCUGGUUCGGGAUCCCUUUCCACUGCAGUUUCUACACUUCUGUUAAUUGUCACACGCUCUCGUGCUACUGCAUCAACUCUGGUUCUUGAAUAAUAGAAAAAAACUUAUUAAAACCUACAUUAAAUUUAUGAAAAAAUAUAUUAAAUACAUAUGAAGAGCGAGAUAACAGUAGGUAUUAGAAUUUAUAUAACUAUAAAUGCAUAUUAUUUACCUGGAAUUUUGAGUAGAUGCUCUCGUAAAUGACAAGGAUCUAGGACCUAAAGAAGUUGGUCCUAGUGAUAUUUCACUAUUACUCUGUCGGAGAUUAGUUCCAGCUAAAAAUAAAUAAAUUGCAGUGAAAUUUAA